AGUCAAGGCUGCAGAAUGCUGAUCAUCUGAAAUAUAUAUUAAUGAAUGAAAAUACAAGUAGCUUUGUCACAAUGAAGGAGAGUCCCAUCACGAUGGAAGUGAAGGAGGCUGAAGUGGUGAAUGUGAAGUUCAACUAAAAAGGAAACUCGCCGCUGCUGGGACUCAUUGCGCAACACGGCGAUGGAGACGUCAUUUAGACCAAUUCUGGUUGCAUUUGAUACCGUUGUGCAGACCAGUGUGGGAAUAAGAACCAUGAUGUUCAUCUGAAGAUCAGGGUUCUGUUUGUGAGAGGCCCAGAUAAAUGACGCUGAUAUCAAAGAUG